CUGGAAAAAAAACAAUGAUCUGGUUUUGAGAAAUUACUUGAAUUCUGGUGCAUAUAUCCCACUAUUCUUACUUUAAAAAUGUGCCAGCUGCAGCAUCAUUGCUGUUAAUGUUACUUUUUUCCCUGCAUUUUGUGUUUCUUGUCAUAAAUGUUUUCAUUAUCAGUGUUUAACUAUGAAUCUCUCUGUUCACAGAAGGAGGGUGAAUGAUUUGUGGAGGACAAUAUGUUUACUGUUGCCUUUGGAUGAAUGUAACCGGCUGUGAUACCUGUACAUUAUGACUGAAUAUAUGUCAACCUGCUGAAGACAAUCAUGAAGCAAAUCAUAUUUUACUCAUUGGGGAGAAAUACAAUAUUAGCUUCACAGAGACACGUUCAUUAUGAAUAUUAUUUUCGGCGCUUUAUUGCCUUUUAUACUCCAGUCUUUAUUACCUUUCUAGUCUCAGUUGUCCAAUAUGUGUCUAUUAUCUGCUACUGCAGUGACAAAAUUUUCCUUACGGGAUCAAUAAAGUUAAUAUCUCAUCUUAUCUUAUUUUAUCUCACACACGCGGGACCCCCAGCAGGCACUACAGACCUUCAGCUAACAAGCAGGAUACGAAGGUGCGGAUUGGUUGAGAUGGUUGGAUGCAGCGACUCGUGAUCUGGUUUAUUCAAACAAAAAGAAAAUGACAAGAGGAGAGUUUCAGUGAAGGUCUGCUUUAAUGAGCCUGUUGAGCCUAGUUAUCAUCAGGCCCGGGCAAGUCUGACUCUUCUGUAAACUCCAGGGAUGAACGGUGGUGAAAUCCCUCAGCGAGCAGGCUGGGGCGCAUCCUAACCCCUCCCUCCCUGAAGGCAAAUUAGAGACGAUCAUUCAGCCAGUUUUUA